rnacentral:misc_RNA from 1 species
CCCCCACGCAUUUUUGGCUCAUAAAAUACCCCCUUCUGAUUUCUUCUUCUUCUUCUCUCUGUCUCUCUCUCUCUGUGCUGUUUCUAUAACUUCACUGCUGCAUUUGCUGAGCUCCUAUGUUUUGAGCGGUACCAAUGGAAAAGCCGGAGGAGGAUUAGGAAAGGGCAUUUCCGUCGGAGGCUGGGUGUUUCUCUCUCUAGAAAUUUCCCCUUUAGGUCUUUGUUUCUGGUUCCCUUUUUC